GAGUUUGAUCCUGGCUCAGAUUGAACGCUGGCGGCAUGCCUAACACAUGCAAGUCGAACGGUAACGCGGGGGCGAACCCUCGCGACGAGUGGCGGACGGGUGGAGUAAUACGUAGGAAUCUGCCCACUUUGUUGGGGGAGUAACCCGGCCGAAAGACCGGGCGUAAUACCGCAUACGCUCUACGGAGGAAAGACAGGGGAGUCGUAAGACCUUGCGCUAAUGGAUGAGCCUACGUCGGAUUAGCUAGUUGGUAGGGUAACGGCCUACCAAGGCGACGAUCCGUAGCUGGUCUGAGAGGACGAUCAGCCACACUGGGACUGAGACACGGCCCACGACUCC
rnacentral:rRNA from 1 species